CGACGAGGUAAAUCCAACCGUGGCGAUGGAUUUUCGUUUCGGUAAAAGAGCUGGGCUAUGCGUGGUCUUAUUCAGCCGAAGCGAUGAAUGAAGACGAUGAUCGAAUGACCGAAUCGACAAUUCAACUAUGGGAAUCGCCUAUUCAGUGUGGGAGUCGGCGACUCAACUGUGGGAAUCGCCUACUCAGUGUGGUCUUAUUCAGCCGAAGCGAUGAAUGAAGACGAUGAACGAAUUGACAAUUCAACUGUGGGAAUCGCCUAUUCAGUGUGGGAGUCGGCGACUCAAUGUGGGAAUCGCCUACUCAGUGUGGAUAGGUGAUUUUCUAUGAAAAAUCCAACCUAUAUGGAAGUGAAAGUGCCAGAGCAAAAGGCAUUGACAGCACUUGCUCAAAAAAGCUAAAGGAAUCGGCGACUACCUAUGUGGAGUCGGCGAUUCAACUUAUGGCCUUUUUGAACCAAGCCGUGGACAGCACUCUUAGCUAGCAAAAUAACCCACAAUCGGCGACGUCACUAGGUGGAGUCGGCGAUUGCCUGUGUGAAUCGGAGAUUCCUUG
rnacentral:lncRNA from 1 species